CCUACGGGAGGCAGCAGUGAGGAAUAUUGGUCAAUGGCCGGAAGGCUGAACCAGCCAUGCCGCGUGAAGGGCAGGGCCCUAGGGGCGUUAAACCUCUUUUGUGCGGGAGCAAUAAUGGUCACGUGUGGCCAGACGAGAGUACCGUACGAAUAAGCAUCGGCUAACUCCGUGCCCGCGGCCGCGGUAAUACGGGGGAUGCAAGCGUUAUCCGGAUUUAUUGGGUUUAAAGGGUGCGUAGGCUGUGAGGUAAGGCAGCGGUGAAAUGCCCCCGCUCAACGGGGUGAAGUGCCAUUGAUACUGCCUUGCUGGAAUGCGGAUGCCGUGGGAGGAAUGUGUGGUGUAGCGGUGAAAUGCAUAGAUAUCACCCAGAACACCGAUUGCGAAGGCAUCUCACGAAUCCGCGAUUGACGCUGAUGCACGAAAGCGUGGGUAUCAAACAGGAUUAGAUACCCUAGUAGUC
rnacentral:rRNA from 1 species